UACAGAGGUCUCAAGCGUUGUUCGGAUUCAUUGGGCGUAAAGGGUGCGUAGGCGGCGCGGUAAGUCGGGUGUGAAAUCUCGGAGCUUAACUCCGAAACUGCAUUCGAUACUGCCGUGCUUGAGGACUGGAGAGGAGACUGGAAUUUACGGUGUAGCGGUGAAAUGCGUAGAUAUCGUAAGGAAGACCAGUGGCGAAGGCGGGUCUCUGGACAGUUCCCUGACGCUGAGGCACGAAGGCCAGGGGAGCAAACGGG
rnacentral:rRNA from 1 species